UUGAUUGAGAAAAGGAAAAAAAAAAGAAUAAAAAGACAAAAGAGAGAAAACCAGUUUGGAGCGUUGGUUAAAGGCUUUUCUCCUUUCGAUUGAGAUCAACCUCAACAACACCAACGCUGUUCGAAUCCAACAAGCUACCCCUAAAUCCACGUCCAAUCUCACCGACCCAUCUCCUUUCUAUAGCAUUCUUCACCGAUCCACACUACCUAGGUGAUUCUGCCGAAGUGGACGUAAAUUUGCAUGCACUCUGGUGGAUAGCAUAGAAUACACACAGACACACACUCAUAUACAUACAUACGUGAGGUGUGAGAGUUAAGGUUGGGUGAUCCAUGACGAUGAAGAGGCUGGUGAGAGUGAAGAGGGAUGCGAUUGCAGCAUGCAUGACUUGCCCGCUUUGCAACAAGUUCCUCAAGGAGGCCACUGCCAUUUCUCUUUGCCUUCAUACGUUUUGCAGGAAGUGCAUUUAUGAUAAAAUUACAGAUGAAGAAUUGGAAAAUUGUCCAGUAUGCAACAUUGAUUUGGGCAUUGUUCCGCUGGAGAAAAUGAGGUCAGUCCCUUCAGAUAAUUGUGACUAAUCCCUCUUUUGUUGUACUUUUUCUUCAAAAGGAAGUGGAGGGGGAGGGGGGGAGUAACUACAAAAAUGGAAGGUGUUGAUUUACCUUGUUCUAUUGUUCCGGCAAGAGAUUCUGUUCUGCAUGUCAAUUUUUGAAAGCUGCUAAAAUAGAGAUGCAAGAUACACCGUUUCAUUUAAAAAUUUAAUUUAUUGUUGACGUGUCUAAAUUUGCACUUAAAAGCUGUCUAAUACUGCUAAGUUGCUCAAACAUUAUGGAAAGAAAAAGGAAACAAUCAUGCUGCAAUCAGAUCUUCCUCUAGGUUGGUAUUACGUUGCAACAUCACGCAAGAAAGAGAACUGUUGAUGUGAUGUGGUCAUCACAUAAAGUCAUUCAUUUCUUAAUUUUUUUGGGAACUUGCUCCCGAAAUCCACUUGUGGCAUCAUAAUAACUCGUUGUAAUGUUC